rnacentral:rRNA from 1 species
ACCGGAGGUAAAGCACUGAAUGGGCUAGGGGGCUUCACGGCUUACCGAACCCUAUCAAACUCUGAAUGCCGCAUAAAUGUUUCCUGGAAGUCAGACUGCGUGAGAUAAGUUUCGUAGUCAAAAGGGAAAGAGCCCAGACCUACAGCUAAGGUCCCUAAAUGAAUUUAAGUGGAAAAGGAUGUGCAGUUGCGUAGACAACUAGGACGUUGGCUUAGAAGCAGCCACUCAUUUAAAGAGUGCGUAAUAGCUCACUAGUCGAGUGAUUGUGCGCCGAAAAUGUAACGGGGCUAAAAUUCAUACCGAAGCUUAGGCUUUGCACACUUUGUGUGCGAGGGGUAGAUGAGCGUUGUGUAAGUCUGCGAAGCUACACCGAAAGGAGUAGUGGAGAUAUCACAAGUGAGAAUGCCGGAAUGAGUAGCGAGAAUUAUGUGAGAAUCAUAAUGGUCGAAAAUCUAAGGUUUCUUGAGGAAGGUUCGUCCGCUCAAGGUAAGCCGGGAGCUAAGGCGAGGCCGAGAGGCGUAGUCGAUGCACAUACGGUAAAGAUUCCGUAGCCACCGAAGUCGUUAAAUACAGGGACACAGGAACAUAGCCUAACCCCACCGUUGGUUGAGUGGGGCGUAAGGGAGCGAAAAAUAGUAGCGAAGUAGGUGAUUGUACACUGGCGAGAAAAGCUGUAUGUAUUGAUAAGGUGCCCGUACCGCAAACCGACACAGGUAGAUGAGGAGAGAAUCCUAAGACCAGCGGGAGAAGUGUUGUUAAGGAACUCGGCAAAAUGACCCCGUAACUUCGGGAUAAGGGGAGCCUACGCGAGUAGGCCGCAGAGAAUAGUCUCAAGCGACUGUUUAGCAAAAACACAGGUCUAUGCUAAAUCGAAAGAUGAUGUAUAUGGGCUGACGCCUGCCCGGUGCUGGAAGGUUAAGGGGAAGUGUUAGAGCAAUCGAAGCACUGAACUUAAGCCCCAGUAAACGGCGGCCGUAACUAUAACGGUCCUAAGGUAGCGAAAUUCCUUGUCAGGUAAGUUCUGACCCGCACGAAUGGCGUAACGACUUGAGAGCUGUCUCAACAACAUACCCGGCGAAAUUGAAGUACUGGUAAAGAUGCCAGUUACCCGUGAUAAGACGGAAAGACCCCAUGGAGCUUUACUGUAACUUGAUAUUGAAUUUUUGUAUUACAUGUACAGGAUAGGUGGGAGACAGAGAACUAAUGCCGCCAGGUGUUAGGGAGUCGAUGUUGGGAUACCACUCUUGUAAUAUGAAGGUUCUAACCUGCACCCGUGAAUCCGGGUGGGGGACACUGUCAGGUGGACAGUUUGACUGGGGCGGUCGCCUCCUAAAAGGUAACGGAGGCGUUCAAAGGUUGGUUCAGCACGGACGGAAAUCGUGCAACGAGUGCAAACGCAUAAACCAGCCUAACUGCGAGACCGACAAGUCGAGCAGUAACGAAAGUUGGAGUUAGUGAUCCGGCGGUAUGAGAGUGGAAUUGCCGUCGCUCAACGGAUAAAAGCUACCCUGGGGAUAACAGGCUGAUCUCCCCCA